rnacentral:lncRNA from 1 species
UGGUAUUAAAGAUCUUUGAUACAUAUUUAUGGCCAAGGAAUCUAAUUAAUAAUGCCUUUUAACUAGCCAUUUAGUUUGAGGUCCCGAAUUGUCACAAAAUUAUCAUUAUAGAUAUUUAAAUUUCAAUUACAUCACUAAUAGGUUGCCCUCCUAAAAUUAUCAGAGCUUUCCUCUCUUUACUUUUCAAUACCCUCGAUAAAGGCACCCCCCAAUCAUCUUUUCUAGCUCCAAUGAUUGAUGCAAAUA